GUGAAAAGCAGCUGGCAUGUCUAUUUGCUCCGAUCCGCCCAUCAAUGAGAGCCUGGUGGAAAAUCCAUCUGGAUCACACGGACCCGGAACGUUCUCAGUUCAACGCCACCUCUGAAUGAAGCUUCGUGGCUUUCCGCAUCGGUGGCUGAAUCCUGGACAAAAUCCACAGAAACUACCUUCCAGGUUGGCGCCGGCAAGUUGCUGAUCGUAACCAGCACUCGUGAUGGAAGGUCCGACUGUGCUACGUCGCCGCCCUCCGCCUGGCAUGCUAACAAGCACUUACACGCACGCUCGCAAUACCUACGCAGUGGUGCAAGGUGAAAUAUCACUCUGAAAACAGCUUCCUGUCGACUCUCCAUUUUCAAAGUCCCAAGAUGCAACCGGCUCAUUGAACAGAAACAAGCACGGGGGCUCCCGCAUAUCACGACUACAGUCAGCAUC